AUUGAACGCUGGCGGCAUGCUUUACACAUGCAAGUCGAACGGCAGCGCGGGCUUCGGCCUGGCGGCGAGUGGCGAACGGGUGAGUAAUACAUCGGAACGUGCCCAGUAGUGGGGGAUAGCUCGGCGAAAGCCGGAUUAAUAUCGCAUACGACCUGAGGGUGAAAGCGGGGGAUCUUCGGACCUCGCGCUAUUGGAGCGGCCGAUGGCAGAUUAGCUAGUUGGUGGGGUAAAGGCCUACCAAGGCGACGAUCUGUAGCUGGUCUGAGAGGACGACCAGCCACACUGGGACUGAGACACGGCCCAGACUCCUACGGGAGGCAGCAGUGGGGAAUUUUGGACAAUGGGCGAAAGCCUGAUCCAGCAAUGCCGCGUGUGUGAUGAAGGCCUUCGGGUUGUAAAGCACUUUUGGCGGGAACGAAAAGGACUGUGCCAAUACCACGGUUCGAUGACGGUACCCGCAGAAUAAGCACCGGCUAACUACGUG
rnacentral:rRNA from 1 species